UUUCUUAUCUUUUCCACAGUUUCCUACCUUGGUGGCUAGGAGCACUCUCUCCAUCUGUGCCUGUUGCCUAUCCAAUAUCUUGGUUAGGUUCCUCUCUUGCCUUCUGUCUCUCUUCUUUUUUCUUUCUCGAUGUUCUCUUUCCCUUCUCUCUUCCUUUUGGUCCUCCAUUUCUCUUUUAUUAUAAACUUUUUGCCACUGCCACUAGGUCCCUUAGGCUUCUUUCUCCUAGUCUUUCUAAUGACUGUAGCUUUCUCUUAAUAUCUGGUGCUGCCUGAUUAACAUACACUAGGAUAACUGCCUGUUGUGUUUCCUCAGAUCCCGGCUUAUAGGGGGAGUACUGUUUAAAAGCCCCCAUCAACCUCUCUAAGUAUGCGGCUGAACUUUCUUCAUUUCACUGUCUUAUGUCAUCAAUUUUUGCCGUAUUAGUAGGUUUGCAUGGAGGAGCCUUGAGACCCGCUAACAGAGCCUGGUGGUAGACACGGAGAUUCUCCUUACCUUCUGCCAUAUUAUAGUCCCAGUUGGGGUGGGUGGAUGGAAAAGCACCACAGCUAAAGCAGGAUCUGUUAGAGGGGACGCCCAUGCGUCCUGGAACUAACUUCCAAGCAUUCUCCAGGAUCUGGUUCCUUUCCUCAGUGGUGAAGAGGCCUCCCAAUAAUUGAUAUACAUCAUCCCACGUGGGAUGGUGAGUGAAUAAAACUGUCUCUAAUAGGUUAGUUAAGUCUUGGGGGUCCCUAGAAAACAGCAUAUUUUGGGCCUUCCAAUUAUACAGGUCACUAGUGGCGAACGGCCAAUAUUGGAAGGGUUGGUUCCCAAAUCAUCUGGAGGGCCAGCAGGCCUGAGGAGAAGAGCUGAUGUGGAGUCUGGUUGAGGGGCUGACAUGGAAGGGGCUCCUGCCCCCUCCUCCUGUGGUAGACAGAGCUGCCCCCCUCCCUCCACUCUUGACAGCUGCGGCUCUGGGGCCUGCUCCACAGGAGGCGCUGUGGGGUGUGUUUGGGGAAGUUGAGGAGAUCAGGGGGGGCGGAAAAAGUUCUGCUUCAGGAGAUCCUCCCUGGAGCACAGCAGCAGGCUUCUUCGUCCCUUCUUCCUGAUUCACUGAGGAACUCCUGGGCUUGACUGCCAAGACCUGAGUGCCUUGAACGUGCUGUGGGGGCAGAAAUAGCUUUACUCAGGGAAGGGGUCCACCUUCCCUAUCUAUCAGGCCCCUCCAAGUAACUGUAUAGGAGACUUGGUCAGGGUGGCCAGGGUUAGGGCGAAAAACAAUCUCUACUCAGUGGAUGGUAGCAGCAUCAAAUGUUCCCCCUUCUGGCCACCCAAUGUUGAAAGUUGGGUAAACAGAACACUCAGCUGAACAGAAAAUGACCCAUCUCUUCUUCUUAACAAUCACGCUGUUGUUGCUUGCAGUCUCCUGGAAAUCCUGCCAGUGAGCAAGGGUUAAGUCUAGGGGUAAAGUCGGGGUAUUCCCCAUAGAGGAAGAAGAAAGUCAAAGAUAGUAGCUGAAAGAGAGAGAGAGAGAGAGUAAAGUAACAAUGACCACAAUAAAACACAAAAUGACUCUAACAAUUUCCCAGUUCCAAGUACAAGCUGGCACUUCCUCCUGUGGUAGGGGAAGAUGCCCAAAACCACUCCUAAUGGGUCAUCUAAUGAACAGGAGAGGCUCCUGGUCACUUUCCAGAGGAGGCUGCUAAAACCAAAUGGUCACCUCUGAGGUGGCCCCAAAUGGCUCGGGAACAGGGGGUCCCUUGUCCAAAUUGGGGAACGAGACGUCUCUUUUUCACUCCAUGUUCACUGUCUAGACACGUCUGCCCCAGUGAGAACCUGCAAAGUACAAAUCGGUCGACCAGUACAAAACGAAAGUAACAAGACGGAGACACAGACAAGACAGAGAGUGCUCUUGUCAUGUCAAUGGACCUCUGGACCCUUGAGGGUCCCAGUGGGGUCUCUGGGUUUCCUGGUCACCCUGACCAAAUGUUAUGCUCUUGGUCCCCAAAGAGACCACUGAAGAAUGUUGUGAUCGUGUCCCCAAAGAGACCACUGAAGAAUGAGGAUGUCCAGAAUGCAAAAGCAAAGGUUAUUUCUGUUAAAGCAGCACAGCAGGGAACUCAUCCCAAACACUCACUCCUAGCUGUGAAGCUGAGAGGUGCUCCCCUUUUUUUGUAAGGCUAGCUCUUAAAGGCAAAGACCACAUAAUUCAUUCCCCCUCAACCCACCUACCUCCCCCCAGUUAGAAUCAGUUCCUUUUUCCCCAGUCUUUGAUCUCUCAUCCUUUUAGCAACUAUGUCAGGAGUUUUAUGAGCUGUCUCUGGAAUUGGGAUAUUUUAUAUCCAAUUAGUCCAGGUGGCCGAACAUCCUGACUUUGUAGUUGAUACCACCAUCUGGGAACCUGCAACUGGCCUGAGUUUUAUCUACACUAAGAUAUCCUGGUUUAAGCUUCUCUUUGUCUAUAGAGAAAAGAGUGGGGGUCUUACUGAGGUUUCACAAGCUAGAAAGUGGGUUCACAGCAGCUAGGUGGCAGGCUGAGAUCCAAGCUCCUAUUCUGGGCCCUCUGCUUCACAGAUUAAUUAUUAAACCAUAGACCUUCCUUAUGAGUUUUCACUUUGUUUGUUUUUAAGGCAGAUCCAUUCAUUUUUAAGGAGCACGAGAGAGUCCUGACACCCAUGUGGAGCACUAAAGAUUUCAUAAGAAUGCAGCAUUUGCUGCUUGGUCUAGUGGAGAGCAGUCAAAUCAGCCAUGGUUGCAGCAAAUGCAACGACACACAGAGGGGAUAAUGGCAGCACACGUAAUGUGGUACUCAAACAUACCUGCAGGAACAAUACUCAUAUACAUAAAAAAUGAAAUAAAUAUUAAGAAGGGGGAAAAACAAAAAUUAAAAUAAGACACAAAUGCAAGUCAGGGGCUUGUGAACUGGCUCAGCAGGUAAAGAGUAGUAAAGCAGGAGCUCUUCCAAAUUCUUUUUUAAGCCAGAGAUACCCUGGUGUUGAGAGAUGAAGACAGGUCGGUAAAUAGAUAGAAAGAAGGAUGGAUGGAUGGAUGGAUGGAUGGAUGGAUACAUAGAGAAUAGACAGAUGAAUAGAUAGAUAGAAUUAUAGGCCUAUUAUCCUGAUGAACAUAUGAAUACAAAUUUUCAAUAAAAUAUUUGCAAAUCAAGUUCAGGAUCACAUCAAAAAAAAUAUCUACCGUGGUCAAGUUGUCUUCACCUCAAACAUGUAAGGGUAAUUCAACAUACACAAAUCAAUGUAUUUAUUACACCACAUAAAAUGAAUAAAGGAAAAAAACAAUAUGACCCUCUGAGUAUAUGAAAAAAGGCUUUGUAAAAUCAAACUUUCGUCAAUGAUAAACGUCCUGGAGUAUUUAGGGAUAUAGAGGAUAUGUUUCAACAUAAUAAAGUCAUUGUAUAACAAGCCCACAGCAACAUCAUGCUAAAUACAGGAAAACUCAAAGCAAUUCCAAAAAAAGAAGGAACAAAAAAAAUAUUCACUCCUUCCACUCCUAUUCAAUGCAGUACUUGAACUCUUAGCAAGAGCAAUAAGACAACUGAAGGAGAUAAAGGGGAUAGAAAUGGAAAAGUGAGAAGUCAAAAUGUCCUUAUUUGCAUAUGAUAUGAUUCUAAACAAUUAAAACUUAAAAUUUAUCAGAACUCCCUUAAACCUGACAAAUAGAUUCAUAAAAGUAAAAGAUUGUAAAAUUAACACACACAAAUCAGUGGCCUUCCUGUAUACCAGUCACAAACAUACUAACAAAGAAAUCAGGGAAACAGUUCCACUCACAAAAGGCUUUAAAAUGUAUGACAAGACAUUUUAUAUGAUCACACUUUAAAAGCAUGCUAUUAAAUACAAUGUAUCACCCCUUUCUAUGGAACUUAAUAAUGUGUCCAUAAAUGUUCUAUUAUUGGGCAAAGGAUAAUUUUUAAAGUGGAACAGGCAGGAAUAUCCAGAGAUAAUUUUAGAAGGGUAAAGUAGGGAAGCAUGAUAUAUUGGAGAGGAGCAUGACAUAUGAGAUGGAAAAAAAUACUUUAAGAGAGAAAUGUGAGCAGUGGGUGUGAUUGGUAGAGUUGAUAUUGCAAUAGAUUUCAGUGUCCAGAAACUUUGUGAAUGGUGAAAAAAGAGGCUACAGGCUGGAAGAACAAUGGGCUGUGAGAGCAUGCCCUGAAAAUAUGGCAAGUGUUCUAGUUAACUUACUAUUGUUGUGAUAAAAGUCCAAAAAGCCAAUCUGGGAAAGUGAAGGGUUUAUUCAUCUCACAGAUUGCAGUCCAUCAUCAAGGGAAGCCAAGGCAAGAUCCCAAAGCAGGUGCUUGAAACCACACAAAAUGCUGUUUACUGCUCUGCUCGGCUAGCUUUCCUCUGAGGCCCAGGAUCACCUGCCUAGGAAUGGCACUGCCCACAGAGGGCUGAGCCAUCCUUCAUCAGUUAGCAACAAGAAAAUUCCAAAGAAACAUGCCUGCAAGCCAGUUUGAUGGAGUCAAAUCUUCAACUCUGUGUCAAGUAAACAGCCAAAAUUAGCCAUCACAGCAAGCCAGAAGGGGAAAACAUAAACCUCAACUUACUGCAAAGAACAUUGACACUCCAUGAAGAGGAUUCUAUGUCCAAAGUGAAAUUUCCAUUGUAGGAAGAAUGAUUCAAUAUGGUUUAUGUCAGAAGUGAAAUAAUCAGUAAAAUGAUGAGUGAUUAUAAGCCCAAGCCACAAAGGAAAAGUUGGUAAAUUUGACUUCUUAAAGUCCCUUCUGGAGGCUGCAGGGUAACAUGGGGAGGGGCUGUUGACUGAUAGCACCUUUGAGCAUCCUUCCAGUGUUUUGGUGGAGAGGUUCCUAUCAGAAGUCCUACCCCUUACUACAGAGACCAGGUCCCAAAUACAAGCCUGAAUCACUAACUGCAUGCCAGAGCUUAUGUUCUAGAGAAAUGGAGGAGUCCAUUCUGCUUGAGACCAGAGUGAGGCAGAAGGAAGCUGGUUCUAGAUCUCCCUGGAAAACAUGGAGGAAUAAGAUGUCCUGAGGAAGACUCAGGACUACAGAGGAGGCACCAUCCCAACUCUCCACCUUCACUGAGCAGGAGCACCAGAUGAAAAAAAUAGAGAAACUCACCGUCUGGCUAAAUAAUAUGACCUGUGAAAGAAAUGAGCUGUGUGAAAUCCUCGCCAAUUACACAAACAAGGAUUUGAAAAACAGGUAGUCAUUAUGCCCAGUUCUCUGCUAAUCAUCUUAAUACCACAGUAUCAAGCCCAGGUUUCCUGAGGAACAGGAGACUGUACAUCCAGGGUGUCCUGGUGCCUAAACUAAACUUCCUGAGUGCAUUCAAGAUGCAGAACUUGGACCCUGGGUAGGAGUGCGAUGGGGACACAGGCUGUUCUGUUUCCUAUAAAUGAAAAGCAGAACCUGUGGCCUGAACCAGAGUCUGAGGACAGGGACAGUAGUGUGUGAGCUCUCAACAUGCAUUUCAAGAUGCCUUGACAAGUGUUGGCUUGUGGGAGAUGCUAGGUCCUGUUAGUUUGUUGUGAGUCUUUGUACUUGACCAGCGGAUGAUUGUGUCUGAAAGCUCAAAACCACUCCAUAGGGAGUUUAUCUUCUCGUUGGCAAAAAAAAAAAAAAAAAAAAAAGUCAUUUGGGCAAGAAACUGUUCUUGUCUAGAAUGCUUGAUCAAGUGGACAUGCAGGACCCAUAGGAAGGUGGCCACUGAACUUUGCUUGGUGAAAUGGUCCUUCAGGUUCCUGCUUACCAGAGGAAACUGCCAGACAUUCUACAGGACACAGAGAGAAAUGAUUGGGAGACUCUAGGCGUGUGGGCUGAAGACAGAUGCCUCAACUUUACAAAGGAACAUUAGGUGACUGUCCAUGCUUCCAGGUGUCUCUGUCUACCCUGCAAGACUCCCAAAGUUACUUGUGUCCUUCUUCUCUUUCUCAGAUAAUAUUAUAUCCUUCUGGGCCCUUUGAUGUAGUUGAAGCUAGAUAGUUACAAUUUUCCUUAGUUAUGAUAACAGAUAAGGUAAAUAUAAAACCUUAGACUCACAAAUAUUAGAUAGAUAUGUUCUUUAAUAUUGUAACUGUAAUUCUUGCUUGAUAAUUGUUUUGUUAUACGUAAUUUUAGUAUGUUAAAGUUAAAACCUUCCUUUUUGAAAAAAAAAGAAAAAGGGGAAGUGCUGUGGAUGAUUGAUUGAUAAAUAAAACAGUGAUUGGCCAGUAGCCAGACAGGAAGUAUAGGCGGGACUAGCAGAGAGGAGAAUUGAGAGAACAGGAAGGUGCAGAGGAGGAGCCACCAGCCUGCCAUCCAGGUAGCAGCAUGUAAAGGCAGCAAGUAAAGCCAUUGAACACGUAGUGACAUAGAUUAACAGAAAUGGGCUGCAUAUAAGAGUAAGAGCUAGACAAUGGUAGACUUGAGCUAAUGGCCAAGCAGUUUAAAUAAUAUAAGCAUCUGUAUGUUUAUUUUAUAAGUGGGCUAUGGGAUUGCGGGGCUUGGUGGGACCAAGAGAGAAAAACUCUAGCUACAGGCUAUUAUGCAGGGAGCUACUUAGGGAACAGCACAAAGCUUUCAUUGAUGAUGUCAGUGGCCUGUGGCUCAUUUGCUUUGCAAGGGUCAUAUGAGAUCACAGGGAGGAAGCAGCCUUCAAGGACUAGAGCCCAGUGCCAGUGCCAAGUGAGGGGUUCUCAUUGUCAACGUUUUGGGUGGCAUGUGGUCUUCUCUUUUCUUCCUUCAUCCCAAUGUGUUCUCUUCCUUUUGCCAAGCUCUUGGUCAUAGUGACAGAAGCCUGAGUACCACCUUGUCAGUCCUUUUUCUGGGCAUGGUUCUGGACAGUUCUGCGGGAGCAUCCUGGAGCUUCCAGUCUGGAGCUGCCUGGAUGACCAUAGAUGUGGGUGGACUUUGAUAGGCUGAGGGUUGGUGUGACAGAUUUGAAGCUUCAAGAGAACAUGUUCUCCAAUCUCAUCAACAUAGUCUGACUAACUUGUGUUUUCCCCUAGGAAGUUUUAGGCCCAAAGGGAUGGAUUGCCGUAUUGUGGGUCUCAGUUGAAACACCUGAUGUGCAUAGUCUAAAUUCAGCUGUUUAUUCAGCAUGACGUCCUCUUCACUUUUUUCUUCUCACUUCUGAUUUCUGUGGUCUGUGUAUGAUCUAUGCAGAUGUGUGUAAAUGUGUACAUUGGUGGGUGUGUUCAGAGACUACAUAAUAAAAUCCCGUGUUGUCAUCUGUUGCUCACUCCCUUAUUCCCUGGAGCUCAGGUCUUUCUCUGAACCUGAUAUUUUCUCUUUGGGCUAAUCUGGCUGUCCAGCAAUCUUGGGAUCUCCUGUCCUCCAAGGUAGACCUUCUGUCUUGUUUAUUCUCAUCCAAUUCCUACAAGUUUCAAUUGCUCAGAAAAAGGAAGGAUGUAGUAGCUUUCUUUUUCUUCAUUUACUUUUAUUGUUUUGAUGUUAAUGUGGUUUCUAAUAAAUAACAAAAAUCAAACAAUACAGAUGUUUUAAAAAUAAACAGUAGGCACAGAGCUAAAACCACAGGAAAUGCCUGGUUUGUCUCAUUGACUUCACAACACAGAAUCCCACAGUGCAUCUUCUUGUUGACAUUGUGUUUUGACUACAUCAUGUGCAUGGCUGUAUCUUAGAACAUUUCCCUCUCAUAGCUGUGUAGAGUGCUGCAUUCUUGAAAAGCUAUGUAGGUCACUUCACUGGCCUCUUUCUGACUGACUUUGGGGCUAUUUUCAUAUCACAUGCACUGCAACCUGUUACAAACUUCCUGGGUUUUGACCAUGGGUCACUUUCUUUCUCUUGAACUAGGCAGGGUCUUCUGUGGAGGAGCCAGGGGAGGUUUAGUGAAGAGACUGCGAUGGAUCAACUUGGAAGCCGUGUGAUCAGUGAGUCUUGGGAUAGAUAAAGCUCAUGAAAGUAAAAGUAAGUGCAGGCCAGGGUAGCAGAGCCUGGCUGAGUCUAAGAGCCUUGUAGACAGCAGAGUGGACCCACUUCCUCCCCCUGCAGAAGACUUUCUUAAAGGCAGCCUUUUCUACCUGGACAUUCUGGGAUCAGAAGUGUGUGUGUGUGUGUGUGUGUGUGUGUGUGUGUGUGUGUGUGUGUGUGUGUGUGUGUGCUGUGUGUGUGUGCUUGUGCUGUGUGUAUGCUCUGUGAUGCAUUUCUGUACAUCUCUGUUUGUGUGUGUGGACCUAUAUGUGUGUUUUUUGUGUCUCUGUGUGUAUCUGCUGCCUCUGUGUAUCAUGCUGUAUGCAUGAUAGUGUCACUUUGUGUGUGUGUGUGUGUAUGUGUGCUCAUGUGUGGUUGUCUGUGUCCAUGGUUCCUGUAUGUAUAGCUUUAAGUGCUGAUGUGUGUAUGUUUGUGUGUAUGGAUGCUUAUAUGUGCAAGUAUGUGUUUGGAUGCAUCAAUAUGUUCACUUUUUUGUGUAUGAAGCAUCUUUAAUGAUAAUAGAGUCCAACUUUGUUGAAAAAGUACUGUGCACACUCACUUUUCAUCCAUCUAAUAUUGUAUGCUGCUGCCCAUCUUUCCACAUGUCCACUUUGCUCUCUAGGACAAAAAGGACACAAAACUACUCUAAGUCAAUGGUUUUCAGGUAAUUGUAGAGGGAAUAAUUCCCUAGCCAUGCUGUGGUGUGAGAAUGGGGCUGUCUCUGUGCACACCCUAGGCUCGUGAUGGUCUAAAGCACUCACCACAUGCUGUAGCACUCAGUAACUGCUUUUCUUCAAAGUUCUUCAUUUUGAGUUAAAAUCAGCCUCAUGGAGGGUUGGGAGCAAUGAGGACUCUCAGACAUUGCUGGUGGUAUAACAUAAUAUAGCACAGUGAGAAGCCACAGACUCUUCUUCAGAAAGUUAAACUGAAGUUCACAGGUGAACCAGUGAUUCCAGAAUACGAAGUAGGUGUCCAAGGAGAAGCUAGGGGACAUUAGUGUUGUAGUAGCAUUCCUCAGAGUAGCCUAAAAGUAGAAACUAUCUAGAUGUCCAUCAUUCGCUGAGUGAAAAAGUACAAUGUGAUUGAACCCUUCCAUGAAUUAUUGUUCAGCACAAAAUAAUACAUGCAAUCAUUUGGCCCUGAUAUAGUCAGCCUUUUGUUGCUCAAAGAAAUCCUUGACACAAUCGCCUUACCAGGAGGAAUUGUUGAUUUUGACUCCUUGUUGUGGCAAUUUUCUAGGUUCCUGGGCUCUUGGGUUUUCUAGUUUCCUGAGCUCAUUUGCUCUGACAUGAGGCAGCCUGUGGUAGAGGGAGCUUCUUUUGGGGAAGUUGCUCACCUUGGGGCCAACUGGGAAUUAGUGAAUAAGACCAGUGAGCUGGUCCAGUUGUCCUCUGCUGGGGAACAUUCCUAUACUGCACAGCCUGGAGAACUUCCUAAGCAGGGUUGGCUAACCAACCAGUACCCCAGAGGUCCACAUGUCUGUGCAUUAGGAUCACAGGAUAGGCACUUCAAUGAUUGAGUUGCCUGUUUCUCAUGGCCACUGUAUUCUUCUCUCAUCCUACAAAAGUAAAUAUUCUUCUCAAUAGUAUCCCUGGUGAUUGUUCCUUAUAUUAACAUUAGCUGGGAAAUUAAACAUGUUACUGCAUUAAAGUGUGCUUGUAUGUGUGCACACAUGUACUUGUGUGUGUUCAUGAGUUUGUUUGCAUGUGAGUGAGAGACCCUCCACUGAGAACACAGUCUUCUAAUAAACAGAGGCAAGAGAGCCUGGAUGAAAGACUAAAGGACCUGUUGAAGCAGGAGGAGCUGGUAACCCAGCAAAAGGACAUGGCAGAAAAGAUGCAACAUCACUUCAACGUCUCUGAGAUAAGGAUCUCCUAGAUGGUCUACAUUCAAUUUCCCAGGCUGCUCACAUUCACCUGGUAUCUAAUCAAGGCCAUGCAUUUUCUGACAGUUUAAUGUCGAUGGCUUUGGUAAGCUGACUGAGCACUCAGCCCUCUCUAGGUGGAGGGAAAUCUGUCAUGGAAGACUGUUGAUGUCAAGCUGUUCCUGACAGACUACACCAAAAACCAUAAUUUUCAUUCUCCAGGCCAGUGUUGAAGCUGACUCCAUGUCCUGCACAAGUGUUCCUGAAGACAAUGCACCACAGAGAUCUUCACUGUCCCUCAUUCCCCGGGUUAGUCACUUUUUCCUGCAUAUUUAAAAUCAGUGGGUAUGUCUCCAUUUCUCAGCCUCAACUGAAUUGCCUGGUCCUGAAAAAGGAUUUAUAGAAGACAUCUGAGUCAUCUUUGAUGUUUUUUGGUAUGCAGAUGCUGCCCACAUAUUUGUGGAGUCUCUAAUAAGUGCACAAGUGUCUGUAUGCUGAAAGAAUCAAAUAGUGACCAAGACAUUACAGGAUCAGCAGUGGGUGAUAAUUUAUCAAAAGCUUCCCAGAGGGACACAAAGAAUGCUCUAGAAAAUCUCUCAUUCUUAGUCUGAGUAAGGGCUUGGCCUACAAAGCCUGCAGGAGGCAUGGCUACAGUAGCUUUGAAAAAGGCUUUCACAUUCGCUGACUGCCUUCCUACCAUGUUUCCAAGGCCAGUCACAGGCUGUAGGUCUGUGCUGCUAAAAGUGCAGCAAGAGAAUGCUGCUGGCCUUAAUUGUUUUUGUUUUUGGUUUUUGGUUGGGUUUUGUUUGCUUUGGGAUUUCUUGUUAUAGAUUGAGAUUUUGAUAUUUAUUUUUUCUUUCUUUUGAUCUUGUAGUUUUUUGGGUAUUUUGAUAAGGCUGUUCACUGUUUAUAUUGACUUUUCCCUUUAAGCCCCUAUUGAGUAAUAUUACUGUGUUUUUAUUAAUAAUAAAGUGAUUUUGAACUUUUGUGUCUUAGAACCUA